rnacentral:rRNA from 1 species
CAGACGAUGCGUCAUGCAUAUCAAUAAGCGGAGGAAAAGAAACUAACUAGGAUUCCCUCAGUAACGGCGAGUGAAGCGGGAAGAGCUCAAAUUUGAAAUCUUCAAGGUUCUACCUUGACGAAUUGUAGUUUAAAGAAGUGUUUUCUGUUGGAGUUUUGGUAAAAGUUCUUUGGAAUAGGACAUCAUAGAGGGUGAGAAUCCCGUAUUUGACCAUUAUUUCCAGCUUUGUGAUACACUUUCAAAGAGUCGGAUUGUUUGGGAAUGCAGUCCAAAAUGGGUGGUAAAUUUCAUCUAAAGCUAAAUAUUGGCGAGAGACCGAUAGCGAACAAGUACCGUGAGGGAAAGAUGAAAAGAACUUUGAAGAGAGAGUUAAACAGUACGUGAAAUUGUCAAAAGGGAAGCGUUUGACACCAGUGUUGUUUUCUCGAAAAUCAAUUAAAAAAGGCAGGAUUUUGUGUUGUAUUGACUUUAUCAGCUUUCUGCACUCUUUUCUUGUCUUUUUUUAAUGCACUUUUCGUUUAACAAGUCAACAUCAAUUUCUUUUGUUGUAAAAGGGUCAUUGGAAGGUGGCUUUCUUUUCGGAGAAAGUGUUUAUAGCCUUUGGCCUCUGCAAUCGGAGAGAUUGAGGUCUGCAGCGUAGAUCCUUCGGGGUUAGAUACAUUUGUGCUAAGUUAUAGCCUUUCAUAGACAACUUGUUGACUAUGAUCAGUCAUGUAGCUUACUCGCUUAUGCUAUUUUACCUACGCUUAGGAUGUUGAUCUACAGAGCGAGAGU